CAUCAGAAAACUUUUAAGUCUAGGUCUUUUAAACCUAAAACAAGUAGAUCCCUACUUCUGAUGA
rnacentral:tRNA from 1 species